UAAUUUGCCUCGUCGAAGUACUGACUUUACAAGCAGGGACUAUUAUAUUAAUAUAAGAAAAGCUUUGGUUACUGGGUAUUUUAUGCAGGUGGCACAUUUAGAACGAACAGGGCAUUACUUAACUGUGAAAGAUAACCAGGUGGUUCAGUUGCAUCCCUCUACUGUUCUUGACCACAAACCUGAAUGGGUGCUUUAUAAUGAGUUUGUUCUAACAACAAAGAAUUACAUCCGGACAUGUACAGAUAUCAAGCCAGAAUGGUUCCAUUCUACAUCAAAAGGUAUUUGGAAAAUGUCUUUCACUGUAUGUGUACAUGGAGAACCAUAACCUAUAAUUGUAUGUAAAUCUAGUGAUUGUGAAAAACAAGAAACUUGCAGACACAUAUUAACAGUUGGUGACUUAUCGCCAGUUGGUGACUUAUUUACCUACCCCUGCCUCUCAAAUCUUGUUAUAACAAUUAAACAGUUCGUAU
rnacentral:sRNA from 1 species